GAGCAGGGCGAAGCUCACCUCUCUGCCUGCUGUCUCCGCGGAGCAAGCGGGAACCGGAGCGGGAGCUGAGCAAAAGCAGGAGAUGACGUUGGAGAGGCAGGCAGAAGUGAGGCGCUGCACUGCCUUGAAAGCCAAGGAGAACAGAAUGGAGGGCACAAGAGUGGCUGCCAGAGACCAGUGAGGAUGCUCCAGGUCAGAGAUGACAGUGUCUUGGCCUGCUGCAGAGAAAUGGAUGGAUUCAAGAGAUGUGAGGGUGUAAAAUGAACUACAAUAGCAGAAGAUUGGAAAUAACCUUUGGUGGUGUUAACACAUGGCUGCAGAUUCUUUAUACUCCUCUGUAGAGAGAAGGGAUCUUUGUACCUUCUUUGACCUUUGUUUGAACCUUGGGCGAACUGAUGACUGCUUCGACCAACAGAGCAUGGUGGAAGUGACGCUGUGACUUCCAAGACGAGGACAUAAAAGGAUGUGCAACUUCUGCUGGCAUUCAAGCUCUGGGAGCCCUGAGGCAUCAUGCAGGAAGUCUGUCUACCUGGAGGCUGCCCCGCUGCAAGGAAGCCAAGACCACGUGGAGAGGCCAGCUGAAGGCACCACAGCCCCAGCUGAGCUUAGCCUUUGAGUCAUCCCAGUUCAGGCAUCAGACAAGUGAGUGAAGAAGCAAACAGAUGAUUCCAGUCUCCAGCCAUUCGAUUCAGCUUCAGCCUUCAAGGCUUCAGGUCUUUAAGUCUUCCACGCUGAAGAUUCAAACAUUGUAGAGCAGAGACAAGCUGGCCCCUCUACGCCCUGCCUGAAUCCCUGACACACAGAAUCCACAAGCGUAAUAAAAUGGUUGUCAUGUUAUACCACUAGGUUUGGGGGACUUUGUUAUGUGCUAACAGAUAAGUGGAACACAACUUAAAUAUCCAUCAAUAGAAGACAAGUUACACAAAUUAUAGGAUAUCUAUCCUGAGAAUACCAUGCAGCUAUCAAAAGAAGAAAUUGUUACUGAUAUGAAACAAAUUUCAAGCUCAGUGAAGAAAAAUGCAAUGUUCUGAAAAUUCUUCCAUUUUCAAUUCUCAAAAAGGAGGCACAUACAGAGAUAUUAAAACUUUUGAGAGGACAGAUAAGAAAGUUACAGUAGAUGCCUGGGGGUAGGGUGGCUGGGGGCAAGGGCGGGAAGGAAAUUCACUUCUCAGUACACCUCUGGAUUGGUUAUCUGUUGCUUUUGUAAUAAGUUGAGCAAGAGAUAAUGAAGGAUUGGAGUCAGCAGGAGAGAUGGAAAGGAGGUUGCAGGUCUGAACAACAUCCACAAAUUAAAGUUUGUAAGACUUGGUGACUGAGAAUUGCGGGCAGUGUGAGAUAGGAGGAGAGAAAAUAGAGGAUGACUGUUAAGUUUUCAGGUCAGGUGGGUAAUGCUUCCACCAACAGAGUGGAAAAUAUAAGAAGAGGAGAAGUUGAUACCCUUAGCUUUUGGCAGAGCCAAAUGGCGCUGUCCAGGAGGUCUGGAGUCAGGGGCAAGGUCUUGGCCUUAGAAACAGUAUAGGGAAUUGUACCAGUUGCAGAUGACAAAACUAAACUUGAACUUGCUUAAAUAAAGGAAAUGGAAAAACUCAGAUAAUUGAGAAGUCAAGGGACACUGGCUUCAGGAAUGGCUGGAUCCAGAUGCUAGAAAUCUCUCUCUUUAUCUCGUGGUUUGGUUCUGCUCUGCUCUCCUCUGUGUCAGGCAGACUCUCCCUGUGGUGGCAAAAUGCCCAAAUCCUUCAAAUUUAACUUUUGGAAUAAGAAUCUUUCUUUCCCUAUAGUUCCAGAAAAAUCCCUGAUGUUGAUUCUCCUUGCCCCCAGUUGGGUAAAACCUCAUUUACUGAACCCACCAGCAUGCCUCUGACUGGCUUGGUUCCUUGGUCACCCUUUGGGAGGCUUGGAGUGGUUGCCUGAGGACACUUAGUCAAGAUGUGGCAAAUCUGAAUUUGCUCUGAUAACUCUGAGGCCAUGAUCUGUAGCAACAACUGUCUACAUGGAUGUGACUUUCUUUGGUAGUGUCAGGAGCGAGAAUGAAGGAGAAAGCCACUGGCACCCCAGCUCGUAGGUUGGAGUUCCCCUGGACAAGUCAGGCAGAAAGAGGAGGUGGGGGGGCAUGCAGGAAAAAGGGAAGAGAGCAGAUCCCAUGAUGAACCUCAGGGUGGAUCCUGGCUCAAGGGGAGGUGCCAAGGCAGCCCUGGAGGGGAGCAGCUGGCUGUGGAGAUGUAGGGAUUCCAGCCUGAGAAGCUCAGUGAAGUCCAAAAAUGGAUAGGAAGGAAGGGAGUCCAAGGUCAGAGUGUGGGACCUUGGAGUGAAGCAUUUCACAUGUGGAACCUUGUAGGACAGUUGGCACCGUCCAGUAGAACUUUCUGGAAAGAUAGACAUGUUCUACAUCUGUGCUGCCAAUACAGGAGCUGCUGGCCACAGCUGGCUAUUAAGCGUUCAAAAUGUGGCUGGUGUGACCGAGGAACUGAAUGUUAAAUUUUAUUUAAUUCUAAUUACUUUAAAUUUGAGUUUAAAUAGUCACAUGCCUCUGGUGGCCACUAUGUUGGACAGUCAAGCAUCAGUUGAACAACCCUUAUUCCCAGGGACCAACUUUGGGCGUGACCACUGCCAUCUCAGAAGUCUACCAGCUACCCCAUCACCGAGCCCUUGUGCCCUGCCCCUAGGGCCUCUUCUCUACACUGCAGCCACAAUGAACUUGAAAGUGUAAGUCAGGAAGAAUUCGUGUUUGCUGGGUAGAGUUUCAGUGUCACAAGAUGAAAAAGUUCUAGAGCCUUAUUGCACAACUGUGUGAAUAUACUUUACACUACUGGACCAUACACUUAAAAUGGUUGAGAUGGUAAUUUAAUGUGUUUUUCACCACACACACAACAUAUAAGGGUAAGUCUGAUUCUCUCAUUCCUUUGCUCAAAACCCUCUAAUGACUUCUCAUCCUACUCAGGGUAAAAGAAAAGACUGUGGUGGGUGGCUCACACCUGUAAUCCUAGCACUCUGGGAGA